CCCGCCUGCCACGGGCUGCAGGAGCCGCGCGCUGCUCUCCGUGGGCACGGCCGAAUGCAGCCAAGAGGAGAAGCGGUGAGGGCCGCGAUGGGGAGGACGAAUCCAGCAGUCCGUCCCAGCAAGCACACCUGUGCACAGGCGGAGACCUCGUACAAAGCCAGAACGUGUUUUGGCUUGCCACAGUUUUUAACCGUAUUAAGUCCGAUUCAGAGUUAAUGAUGAGCUCAGUGAGACUGGUGUAAUCAGUGCUGAAGAAGGGAAGGACACAGAUGGAAGGCAGGGAUAACUGGCAUGCAGGAAGAAUGGAUCUCUUCUGUCUUCUGUGAUUCCUGACCCACCUAAUUGCGUGAUUGUCCUGAGCAAUAACAACCUGGCUCAGGGGAGCGGCACUGGGGAAAGAUGCUGACGUAUUCAGUGUAGCACGCUGCUUCUCUGUCCCGGAAUGGCUUGAUGUGUGUAUGAGCUCAGUGUUACCAACCUGAACAAAAGCAGAUACUGCUGGAAGUCCUGCUGAACCAAAGUGGGCUCUGCUUGAAAACCAUUGGCUUGUUUCACUCCCAAUACAGAUCCUGCCACCAAUGACUGAACCUCCCUGAAAUCUUCUUAUCAGUUACUGCUGAGAUGAGAAGGAUAACAGGAAAGAGGAGUGCUUAAGUGGUUUUCAUGACAGUUAAUUUCAUCUAUUUAUCAAAUGACAGGUUGUUUUUUUCCUCAAAACUUGAUUGUCACAACAAGAUGCUUUUGGAAGUUAUCUUUUGUAAAAUGAAACUGUCAAUUUUUAGGCUACAAAGAGUUAUUGUAUCUUUCUAUACAACGUUGUCAUUAUGGUAAACCACUGGAAAGUCGUUAUUUUUGAAGUAAUUGAACUUGCAUACUUCAGUCCUUUAUUUGAAAGUAUGUUGAAUGCCACGUGAGAAGUUUCUUGCCAGAGUUCCUUUAUUCAAUGGGAUAGUUAUUCUUACAACACUCAAUUUGUUAUUGUCUAAAUUACUGUUGCCUUAGCCCUCUGCAAAAUGUUUCUUUUUAGUAAUUCUUAAACAAGUAAGGAAUGAAUGAGGUUUUGUCCCUUGGUGUUUUGAUGGGCAUAUUUUACCUUUCAGUAAAAGCUUCUUUAGUUUUCAGAAUGACAGUAUUACAAAGAAAGGUGCUUUAUUUUAUUUUUUUUCCAACAGAAAGUGUGCUUUGUGCAAUGAUUUCUUGAAUAUGUACAUUGCCAAGACACAAUUACUGGAAGGAGAGAUGAGCUGUUGGGAACGUCGUGUUAUGCCAAAUUACGAAUUAUUAAUUCUUUCUUUCUCUGUGCAAUCUUUUUGACUAUAACUCAACUUAUUGCAUCUGGCUUAUACUUGGUCUCUAGUGGAACUAAUGUGUCCUUGGAGUUGCAUUUUAGAGUAACUUCAGAUUCACUUGUGUCUUUUUUUUUUUUUUCUUUUUUUUUUUUUUUUCUCCACAAGUCUGCUUUAAAUUGCUGGGAUUAACUUCAGAGAAGGCAGCCUUCUUUGUCAGCAUCCGUGCUGGUUAAAGAAGGAAGCUUCAUGCACACUUGCUCACUCUCUUGCAGGUUAUUGCCCCUGCUAGGCAAGCAUGCUGAAGUGUUUCACUGAGCACACACAGAUUUAAUUCAGCCCAAGCUGAUCACGUUAUCAAAUCCUGGUUAACUGGUAGCCUGGGUCAUUUUGACAGAAGGGCAGGGAGUGUGCAGACCAGCUGCAUGGACGGCAUAUCUGGGAAGGUGGUGUGGUAUCAGGAGGUGUGUUGAGGAGCUGCUGCUGGUGUAUCUUUUCAUCAUGUUCACUUGCAUCUCUAAAAUGCAGAAAAAAACGUGACCUGUUGGAAAGCUAUGCAGUUAUAUCAUGUAUAAUUCGUGUGUUUCAGGGAUGGACUGCAUAGUUUGCCAAUGCAAGUGGAAAGAGAGAGAGUAGGUAACAGAGGACGGUGAUUGUAGGGAAAUCCAUCAGUGGUCAAGAUGUUUGAACAGUACAAAUGUUUCCAAAUGUUUUUAUACCUAUCAAACACGCUGCUGCAUGAACACACUCAUCCAAGAGGCUGCCUCAACUACUGCAUGCAUUGGCAGAACUGCUUUUGACACAGUGUUCUGAGCUGCCUUAGAGAAGAGGCGAGAGCCCCCACCUCUGCAGCAGAGCCCCAUCUCCCCAUUCUCUGCUGCUUGUCUGUCUGUCUGAUGGUUCAUCAGUAGAUGCAGGAAUCCAGUGAGAUAUGCAAGGUCUUGGUGUUCCCUGUGUUAAAAUCAGAAUGUUACAGAUGAUCUCUAGUAGUGGAGGCAUACUGGGUUAAACCAACACACCUCAAAACUGAGUCUUCUUGCAUGGAGGCUGUGGACUGUGGGUGCUGUCCCACAAACAGGACUCGGGCAGACAAAGAACAAGAGGCUUUCUGAGUAGUCAGAAACCCGAGAGCAGCAACUCUGCUUGCGUCUCCUCCUGGGGCACUGCUAGAUGAAAAGAACUCAGUUCAGUAGCAGAAAGGGCUGAACUUCCAGCUCAGCUGGCAUUACAUUCGAUCCCUUUUAAUUGGUUCUCUGCUGAAGAAUGAGGAAGCAUGCCCUGGCCUCUCUCAUGUGCCAUAGGUAAGGGAGGAAAGCAAUGUGCAACGUCUGGGCAGGAACUGGUGUGCACCAGGGAUAGCACCAAGGUACUGCUGUGCAGGAGAGAACAGCCUGCCCUGGCUGGUUUAUCCUCCAAUAGCACAGUGCUUUCAGACCAAAGCCUGCAUCUGCUGAGCACUAACCUCCUGUGGGCCUCUAAAGCAGCAGCGUGAAGAGAUGAGGGAUGGGCGUUCAUAGGACCAAGGCACAUAGAUUUUGGAAUGUGCACAGACUUAAAAUGGCUAAUAUUUCUACAUUGUGUUAAUAGAUCUGAUGUGACUGUGAAAUCUGUUGCUUUACUGCCAAGUUCUGAGUUAACUUAGCUAUGUACUGCUGUACGUUGAGAAAAUGUUGAGUUCUUCCAUCAUAUUCUUUAUUAUUCUUGUUAACCUGUACAGUGAGCUCUGCGCUGCAAAUGUGCGUAGCUCAAGGAGGCAAAGCACCAACCACAUAAUUGCCAAAAUCCUCAGCUUUCUACUGAUCCAUUCUCUUUAUUUCUAAGGUGAAUUCGGGGUGGCUCCAGGCAUGGGAGCUGAGCCCUGUGAUGGCAGCAGGGGGUCAAGCUCCUGCUGAGCUCUGGGCAUCCGUGCUGGGUUCAGACGUGAAGUGCCUCAUCCCAAGGACUGCCGAGACGUCUCCCAUGGCCGCUGAGAGCUGAGCCGCUGCAGCUCCUCGAGACAGCCCGUAAUCCUUGCAUCUUAAUAUGGGCCAUUGUCAUACCCAUGUUAAAAUCCUUAAUGAAAUGCUUGUGACUUCCUAAUAAACUUUUUGUCUGCUCCAGUGUUAAUACCAUAUAGUUAUGUGUAAUUAAACCAGUGCUGAAAAAUAACAUCUGUCUUAUGUAGAGCACUGUCAUGGCUGUGUUAUGCCAAUGAGUAAAAUUUUAUGUCCAGGCACUUAAAAUGAUCAAGCGCUAUAGUUAAGGCUGUCAUAUUGUUUAUAUAGCACUAAAAAGAAAACAAAAUACAGUUUCAGAGCAGACAGACUUUCUUUUCUUAUAAAUACUCCAAAUAAUAGGUUGGUUUCAACCAGACUUUCUGGCUCUUCAGUGAUUGCCGCAUUCUGUAUGAAUAUAUCAGAAUUCCAGGCAUUUCAUAAUUUAUGUUUAUUAUUAUAAACACAUGAUUUCUAUGUAUGGUUGCCACAACUAUGUUGGACAAAACAUAGUUUACCUUCUUAAAUGGUACUGUACUUUUACUUUUGAACUUCUUUAACUUCAGUCUUGGUUGAAUAAAAUGUGCAUUCCUGAAAAUAA